UACGUAGGGUGCGAGCGUUAUCCGGAAUUAUUGGGCGUAAAGAGCUCGUAGGCGGUUUGUCGCGUCUGUCGUGAAAGUCCGGGGCUUAACCCCGGAUCUGCGGUGGGUACGGGCAGACUAGAGUGCAGUAGGGGAGACUGGAAUUCCUGGUGUAGCGGUGGAAUGCGCAGAUAUCAGGAGGAACACCGAUGGCGAAGGCAGGUCUCUGGGCUGUAACUGACGCUGAGGAGCGAAAGCAUGGGGAGCGAACAGGAUUAGAUACCCUGGUAGUCCAUGCCGUAAACGUUGGGCACUAGGUGUGGGGACCAUUCCACGGUUUCCGCGCCGCAGCUAACGCAUUAAGUGCCCCGCCUGGGGAGUACGGCCGCAAGGCUAAAACUC
rnacentral:rRNA from 1 species